GCCAUCUCCGUCAGUAAUGUGGCCACUGGUGCCACUGUGGCUGAUACUUUAGGUUCAUAAGGUCCCAUGGGGAUUUCAGGAAGCAGUUUGUUAUUGUAAUUGGUGAGGAAUUGAUGGCUUACUGUGGGAACAGCUGAGUCCUCUCUCAAGCCAUAGUCCCGGUGCACAUGAGAACAGAAACACUGAGGGAAGGCAAGUGAAGCCACAGCGAGAUGGCAGUCACCUACAAGCCAGGAAGAGCACUCUCAUCAAAACCCAACCCUGCUGAUGUCCUGAUCUCAGACCUCCAGCUUCCAGAACUGGGAGAAAACCGAUUUCUGGUGUUUAAGACACAAAGUCUAAGAAAAAGUUUGUUUGAGCUCCAUGAUCUUUUUUGCCUUCCCCUGAUGAAAUAAUGAAACCCUUGAGAACUAUCUGGAAAGACUGUGGAGAUGUGUACCUUCUAAAUUAUGCCAAAGCUCCCCUGCUUUGUAUCAUACAUGCUACAUACCUGGAAGUAAACCUGCUAAUUUCUCUUUUGCAUUCUCUCCAGCCACCAGGGUUUUCGAUACCUGGUCUUUAUUGUGAAUAAUAGAUAUAGUUUAUAGAUAGACAUGAUGGAUUUCCAAAUUCAAAAGACAGAAGUUGUCAUGAGACUAAUGAUCCAAGUAAAAGUAUAUACAAACAAAGAAUCAUGGAACACUGUAUCAAAAACUAAUG